rnacentral:rRNA from 1 species
AUUGAACGCUGGCGGCAGGCCUAACACAUGCAAGUCGAGCGGAUGAAGGGAGCUUGCUCCUGGAUUCAGCGGCGGACGGGUGAGUAAUGCCUAGGAAUCUGCCUGGUAGUGGGGGAUAACGUCCGGAAACGGGCGCUAAUACCGCAUACGUCCUGAGGGAGAAAGUGGGGGAUCUUCGGACCUCACGCUAUCAGAUGAGCCUAGGUCGGAUUAGCUAGUCGGUGGGGUAAAGGCCUACCAAGGCGACGAUCCGUAACUGAUCUGAGAGGAUGAUCAGUCACACUGGAACUGAGACACGGUCCAGACUCCUACGGGAGGCAGCAGUGGGGAAUAUUGGACAAAGGGCGAAAGCCUGAUCCAGCCAUGCCGCGUGUGUGAAGAAGGUCUUCGGAUUGUAAAGCACUUUAAGUUGGGAGGAAGGGCAGUAAGUUAAUACCUUGCUGUUUUGACGUUACCAACAGAAUAAGCACCGGCUAACUUCGUG